UUCCUUCAAAUGAUUUCAGAUUAUUUUGUGUAUCUAUUUGCUUUACCUCAUGUCUUCUGUGCUUUUUGUCUGGUUCCCUAUAGCUCUCCCUGUCUUUAUCUUUUGGAAAACUGUAUCUUUCUUUCUCCAGACUUAACUCUUGAAGUUUAUCUUUGUAUCUCACUCGGUCUCCUUCCCCCUGGCGCUCUUUCCACCUCUCUCUCUCUCUCAUUUUAUCCCUGUCUCUUUCACCAGAUUUUAAUCUCUCUCUCUCUCUUGUUCUUUCCUUGCUCUUCCCUCUGUCUUUGCGUUCAUGUUUAUGAGUGUCUGUGUCAUAAACAGGCUUCUCUUUCUGCGGUUUCUUUUCUCUGUGCUUUUGGUCUUCAGUUUGACUAUCUGAUUGUAAUGCCUGAAAUAAACCAAACAAAAUUAAAAUUUAUUAUUUACAAUUCAGCCAUCAAUUUUGAUAUAGUAUAUUCAUGUAGAAAAGAAAAUAGUAGAUUGCUAACUGUAAAUUUCAUUUCCCAAACUGUAUUAAAAUGCUGGUAUAUUUCUAGGCUUACUUUAUAAAAUUACUAACAUUAUGUCUGUACUUAUUGUAAAAAGAACUAAUAAACGAAACAAAUAAUAAGCUGCAUUUUCAAUGUAUCUGAAAAUAAUUUGGUAAAAAAAGAAAAUUUACAGUGGAACUGUGCGUACCUUUUAGAGCUAGGUUGAAAAAUUAACUAAGCAUCUUAAAGCUGUUACCUCACGUGGACAGGACCUGUGCCAUCUUAUAAAAUAUGCUACAGAUAUAAACAAUAAUUACAGAUAACUGGGCAUCCUGCAGCUGCCUUUAGAGUAGAUUAGCUUUUACUUGAACAGAAAGCACGAUAUAAAAACUGAAAAAAGUUUUUGGCCUAGAACCCUUGAGGAUGCAACUAUUCUUAAAUUUUUCUGAAGUCAUAAGACUGUAUUUUAACCUUCCUGAAGUAAGUAGCACAACUCCCAGUGAUUUCACUACACCCACGAUUUCUGCUAUUUACUCAAUGCAGAACAAACAGAACUUGCUUUCAUUAUAGUUG
rnacentral:lncRNA from 1 species